CCAGAGCCGCUGCCUGCCGCCCGGCUGCGCGUCCGCCGGCUGGGAGGCGCGCAGUGACAAAGGAAGGGAGGAGGCCGCGCCCGGGGUGCCCGCCGCGCGCAGGCCGGGGGGGUCUGAGCCGCUGCACCCCGCGCGGUGAGUGACAGCCGCGCUCGUCCAGCCAGACCCGCCGUGGGCGCGCGCUCCGGCCGCGGUCCCGGGAGCCUCGUCCCUGACCGAGCGCGGGACUUGGCACCGCGGUAGCGCGAAGCGCAGGCAGCAGGUGCCUCGGCUCGGCUCGGCUAGGAGCAGCGCGUCCGAGCUUGCGCUCCUGGCUGGGGUUCUCGCCGGGUGCUGGGACCCAGCUCGCCGGGCGGGAGACGCUGCGCUCCCGGGGGCUUCUCCAGCAGGCUGCCCGGGGCAGUUUUCCCUUUGGAGCCAGCGCCAGCCCUGCGCUCUCGCUGCUUCUGGUAGAUUCCGAGCGCGCGGAGCGCUGUUGGCACCAGCGUCGCACCAGUCACCCAGCCGCACCCCUCCAAAAGCGCGGAGCCCGCGACAGUCACUUGGGCGGCUCAGGCGCUCCCAGUGUGGGCUAGAGCGAGCGAUCGCCGUUCAUCCAGGAGGGCGCGCACCUCGCAGGACUGGGAGCCGCCUUUGUCUCUGGUUUAACGCGGAUGCGCUGGAGCCUGUGCCAGGCUCCUGGCAACUGUUGGGUCCAACCUCGGCUCCCUGCCCUCGCCCGGCUCGGGGAGAGAUGCCCUUGUGUUCCUGCGGCAGGUGGGAUUGAGAACUGGGACUGGAGACGCCAGAAGGGUCCUGCGCUCUCGGGAAAUGUAUGCAAGAAGAGUUCUGAGAGUUUGUACUACUCCAGUCUGCUGUGAUUAAACAAGACACUGCAGUAUUUUACCCGAGCUUGGCAAAGCAAGGAUAUGAACAAUUGUGCAGGUGGGCUACCCAGGGCGAGUGAAGAGAUCAGGCGUCCAAUCAGGGAUUGGCAACCUGCAGCUGUGCCAAUAUGCCCCUCCACCAGAUUUCCGUAAUCCCAGCCCUGCAGACUGCCAGCAAUGGGAGAAGUUCAAUGGGCAGAGACAAAGAGAAGAACAAGGAA